UCCUCGGAUAAUCAUCACCGUGUUUCUAGCAUCGAAAUUACGUAAACAUAACCAGAUAACAAUCUGCAGAUAUUACUUGGAUGAUCUUAUUGGAAUUCAAGAUAAUGAUCGUCGUUCAAUUCGCACAGACAUUGAAACUAAUACGUUGAUCGUCAGGUCUCUGUUAGUCGCAGCGAAAGGCUGGCCAGCUGACGAACGCCUAAUUGCGUGAAUAUCAAUCGAUGCGACGCGAUACGGGACAUCACUUUCUCGCUGACGACACGUGAGAAUCUGUCAGAUAAUAAGACGCGCGUGUAAUUUGCAACGAGAUGAACGUCGCGACAGAGAGCGACGAGUGUGUUGGGCGCGAUGAUUACGCAGCUUGGACGAUUGCUCAUCGAGGCGGUGGGAAACGCUCGGACGAUUAGUGACGAUUACCGCCAUGACUAUCGAAACGGCGCUCUCCGCUCGAUCUUCGAUCGAUCGAUGAUGCAGCGGUGAGCUAUUACGUGAAUAUAGUAGGAGUUGGCUUGAUGUAAUGUGUAAGUAAGAUCGUGAGAAGAUGAGAGGGAAGGAAGAACUAACCUUGGUACAUCCUGGAUACCUCAUUUUGAAAAUAUAUUGUUAGGAGGAAAUUAAAGUGUCGCAUUCGAGUGAGACAAGUUUCAGAAGCGUAAAAGGUGUAAAGGAUAGGUUUAAUGUAGUUACACAUUGCUUGAUAUUGUUUUAAUGUUUGUUGUGAAGCAGGUAGAGAAAUUAUACGUGGAAUUGUUUUAAUUCGAGUGGCUCAUUGCGUUGCGUUGGCAACUAAGUGAUUGCGGCUUUUGUCAUUAGAUAGUAUUGAAAAAUCCGCAAUCUAACCUGAUAGAAUUGGAAGAUAAUCAACAAUCGGUUUGACGUUGCUGCUGCUAUAAAACAGGUGGAUGAAUUGUACGAAGAAUUAUCGAAAUUCAAGUAACAAGUUGUAGAAUUGUAAGAUGAUCAACGAGAAGUUUGAUAUUAUUGCUACGAUAACACAGACAGAGGAAAUGCUAUGAUUCGAGUGACAAAUUUUGUUAUUUAAGACAGCCAAAGACAUGCUCGAUAUUGGUGCAGUAAAACAGGUGGUGGAAUUGUACAAGGAAUCGUGUUUUCCACAAGGUGGAGAAAAAGUUUCAAGGGGAUAUCGGAGAGAUACAAGCUAAAAAGACGCGAGAUUUGCAGGGACGAAAGAAAGUGGAGGGGAGGGACUGUUCGAGGGGCGGUCGAUCUUAUUUCCCGUCGUGACACUUUGCACCGCUGCCGGGAGGGCCGCAGAGGACUUAAAAUUUGUAUAGAUUAAAAUAAACUUUUUAUCCGACUACGAGUUUCCGAUGUUCAGGGUGGAGCGAAGGAAACGACAGGGGAUGUGGUGAGCAAGACAGAAACUUUCAGAACGAAACCUGGAUGCAACGUUGUUGAAACGAAGCGCUCUCCUUUCUUUGCGCACCUGUUUCACCUGUUUUCUUUCAUUUCUUAAAUUACAAAUCGACUUUUAAAUGUUCAAUUAUCGUUGUUUUUUUAAAUGAAACACGUCUAACCCUCUGACAGAUGAAGGAUUCAGAACGAACAAUUUAGAAAAUAAUUAUUUCUUUGCUGUCAACAUUUCUUACACUUCUGACACCAGAUAUAUUUGACAAUAACCUCAAAUGGCAUUUGUGCUACGCAGUGAAAUAAUUGAAAACCAACAAAGAAUAACAA